GGGCGACGACCGGCGCACGGGUGCGUAACGCGUAUGCAACCUACCUAUUACAGGGGAAUAGCCCAGAGAAAUUUGGAUUAAUGCCCCAUAAUAUAUAGUUAUCGCAUGAUAAUUAUAUUAAAGCUCCGGCGGUAAUAGAUGGGCAUGCGUGACAUUAGCUAGAUGGUAAGGUAACGGCUUACCAUGGCAACGAUGUCUAGGGGUUCUAAAAGGAAGGUCCCCCACACUGGUACUGAGACACGGACCAGACUCCUACGGGAGGCAGCAGUGAGGAAUAUUGGGCAAUGGAGGCAACUCUGACCCAGCCAUGCCGCGUGAAGGAAGACUGCCCUAUGGGUUGUAAACUUCUUUUCUGAAGGAAUAAUACCCUCUACGUGUAGAGGAUUGAAUGUACUUCAAGAAUAAGCACCGGCUAACUCCGUGCCAGCAGCCGCGGUAAUACGGAGGGUGCAAGCGUUAUCCGGAUUUAUUAGGUUUAAAGGGUCCGCAGGCGGGCUUAUAAGUCAGUGGUGAAAUCCUGCAGCUUAACUGUAGAACUGCCAUUGAUACUGUAGGUCUUGAGUUCAGACGAGGUAGGCGGAAUAUAUGAUGUAGCGGGUGAAAUGCUUAGAUAUCACAUAGAACACCGAUUGCGAAGGCAGCUUACUAGACUGUAACUGACGCUCAUGGACCGAAGCG
rnacentral:rRNA from 1 species